rnacentral:rRNA from 1 species
UACGUAGGAGGCAAGCGUUGUCCGGAAUUACUGGGCGUAAAGCGCGUGUAGGUGGUGGGACAAGUCUGCUGUGAAAGCGCCUGGCUUAACCGGGCGAGGUCGGCGGAAACUGUCGCACUCGAGGACGGUAGAGGGGGGUGGAAUUCCCGGUGUAGUGGUGAAAUGCGUAGAGAUCGGGAGGAACACCUGUGGCGAAGGCCGGCCCCCUGGGCCGGCCCCUGACACUGAGACGCGAAGGCGUGGGGGAGCGAACAGG